rnacentral:rRNA from 1 species
UACGUAGGGGGCAAGCGUUGUCCGGAUUUAUUGGGCGUAAAGAGCGUGUAGGCGGCCAGGUAGGUCAGCUGUGAAAACUCGAGGCUCAACCUCGAGACGUCGGUUGAAACCAUCUGGCUAGAGUCCGGAAGAGGAGAGUGGAAUUCCUGGUGUAGCGGUGAAAUGCGCAGAUAUCAGGAGGAACACCAAUGGCGAAGGCAGCUCGCUGGGACGGUACUGACACUGAGACGCGAAAGCGUGGGGAGCAAACAGG